GUGGGGAAUAUUGGACAAUGGGCGAAAGCCUGAUCCAGCCAUGCCGCGUGUGUGAAGAAGGUCUUCGGAUUGUAAAGCACUUUAAGUUGGGAGGAAGGGCAGUAAGUUAAUACCUUGCUGUUUUGACGUUACCAACAGAAUAAGCACCGGCUAACUUCGUGCCAGCAGCCGCGGUAAUACGAAGGGUGCAAGCGUUAAUCGGAAUUACUGGGCGUAAAGCGCGCGUAGGUGGUUUUGUAAGUUGGAGGUGAAAUCCCCGGGCUCAACCUGGGAACUGCCUCCAAAACUGCAGGACUAGAGUACGGUAGAGGGUAGUGGAAUUUCCUGUGUAGCGGUGAAAUGCGUAGAUAUAGGAAGGAACACCAGUGGCGAAGGCGACUACCUGGACUGAUACUGACACUGAGGUGCGAAAGCGUGGGGAGCAAACAGGAUUAGAUACCCCAGUAGUCC
rnacentral:rRNA from 1 species